UACGGAGGGGGCUAGCGUUGUUCGGAAUCACUGGGCGUAAAGGGCGCGUAGGCGGCCCUUCUUGUCGCGUGUGAAAGCCCCGGGCUCAACCUGGGAACGGCGCGCGAGACGGGGGGGCUGGAGUUCGGGAGAGGAGCGUGGAAUUCCCAGUGUAGAGGUGAAAUUCGUAGAUAUUGGGGAAGAACACCGGUGGCGAAGGCGGCGCUCUGGACCGGGGACUGACGCUGAGGCGCGAAAGCGUGGGGAGCAAACAGG
rnacentral:rRNA from 1 species